CUUCUUCCGACAGCUUGCUGCCCUAGACCAGAGUUGGUGGCUGGACCUCCUGCGACUUCCGAGUUGCGAUGCUGUACUUCUCUUUGUUCUGGGCGGCUCGGCCUCUGCAGAGAUGUGGGCAGCUGGUCAGGAUGGCCAUUCGGGCUCAGCACAGCAACGCAGCCCAGACUCAGACUGGGGAAGCAAACAGGGGCUGGACAGGCCAGGAGAGCCUGUCGGACAGUGAUCCUGAGAUGUGGGAGUUGCUACAGAGGGAGAAGGACAGGCAGUGUCGUGGCCUGGAGCUCAUUGCCUCAGAGAUACUAUGGGGGAGCAGAGGUGGUGGAUGAAAUUGAGCUGCUGUGCCAGCGCCGGGCCUUGGAAGCCUUUGACCUGGAUCCUGCACAGUGGGGAGUCAAUGUCCAGCCCUACUCCGGGUCCCCAGCCAACCUGGCCGUCUAUACAGCCCUUCUGCAACCUCACGACCGGAUCAUGGGGCUGGACCUGCCCGAUGGGGGCCAGUGAGUAUGGAUGGGCUGGCUGAUGGUCUUGGCGGGCAGGAUUGGUGUGGGAAAGGAGUUAUUUAUU
rnacentral:sRNA from 1 species